UACGAAGGGUGCGAGCGUUAUUCGGAAUAAUUGGGCGUAAAGGGUGUGUAGGCGGCCAUUCAAGUCUGCUGUUAAAUCCCCCAGCCUAACUGGGGAUAUGCAGUGGAUACUGUUUGGAUAGAGGAUGGAAGAGAGGAAGUGGAAUUCUCGGAGUAGCGGUAAAAUGCGUAGAUCUCGAGAGGAACAUCGAUGGCGAAGGCAGCUUCUUGGUCCAUUUCUGA
rnacentral:rRNA from 1 species